GAGUCUUUUUACUUUUACAAGUCCUUUAGUUCAUGAAUAUACAGAUUUUUAUUUAUUUUUAUCAAGUGGGUCUUACAUAAAUCAUAGUCCUACACAUGGGAAUGAAUUACUUUUUGAAAAUUUUAUGUCUUCUCUUUUUUUCUUUUCUUUUUUUUUUUUAAAAAAAAAAAGAAAAAGAAAAAGAAAUUUAUUUACUUGUCCUUCAUGAGAUGAGAGAUUUAGGGUUAGGGUUCCUCCGUCCCACAUAUUCUCUCUUUUUGCAUGGGCUGAUAAUGGCUAGCGACUAAGAUUUAACAACAAACAGUCACUUCUUGCUGGUGGAGCAUCAUCAAGAUUCACAAUCUUUUAAGGGCUUUGUGGGAGGCUGGUGAUCAUCAUCCCUUGCUCCAAUUUCAAUGGCCUAUGAUCUGGGAAUCUUGAUGAUGCUGCAGCGGCAAUAAAUGGCUUAUAUAUACUAGCAGAUUAUCCAACGGUGUAUGUAGACGUCAAUUAUAAGUAGUGACGAGAGAUUACUCAUAAAGGUCACCGUACUGCAAAUCCCCCGGUCUCCGCAGGUAUGUCAGUACUUCGGUGGAUUAAUAUUGUGUAGUACCCCAAGCAAUCAUGUGUUUUUAUAUAUUCUCUUUUCUUUCUCAGUACUCUGGAUCUUCAUUUCGAUCUGUAUUAUAUAUAACAUCACUCUAUUAAUUCCAGCUAAUUCAGAUUUUUAUAUGUAAAUGAUCAGAGAUUUCUGAGAUUUGUUCAUCUCUAGCUUCAUCCUGUAAAUCUGCAUUAAUCUUGUGAAAUUCUCAAAUCUUUUUGCCAUUUUAGGGUUGGCAAAUUAGCUGUCUGGUGUAUCUAGGGUUACUUGUUUUUAUUUGGGCAUGGCAUAGUACUGUUUCAAUCAGUCUAUUUCUUUACCCUAUAUCUAGAUCUCUCUAUCGACUAGGAAAUUUAUUACGCUUGGCUGGUUAAUUAUAAGAUGAGACAUUAUAAUUUGAAUGGCUUUUCUUUUCAAUCCCAAAAUCUUGUGUCAUUGAGUCCAUGAAAGUAACUUUUUUCAUCACCUUAUGAAAAAGUGUUGAUAGAAAAAAGAUUGGGUUAUAUAUUUAGUAACUGUUUUGAGUUCAAAAAGUGCUUGUAUUUUUAAAUUCAAAAAAAUAUAUUUUUGAAAAACCAUUCUUGGCAUAUAUAGGGCUAAAAUAUGAUACAUAAACCCUAUUUUAACAUUACAUCCUUCUUAUAAAAACAUUAAAAUAUGGGUAAAAAUGAAAUAAAAUAACCUCAGCUAGUCUUAUUCAAGGCUUAAUUUGGUGCAUACAUGCUUCUCUUACACUUCUCCGGCCGGCCGGGAAAAAUUUCCCGGCCGGCAGAAGAGUGUCGGAAAACUGUCCUUGAUUUGGUAAAGCGUUUUUAAAAACUGGAAGUGUUCUUAAAAAAUGUCACCAAACAUACUUGAUAUUUUGUUUGUUUUUGUUUUUUGGGACGAAAAAAAGGGAAUCUAGUUGAAAUAAAGAACUUGUACUGGUUUCGUGUAAGAGCUCUAUUUCAUUCUCAUUGCUAUCAAAUUAAUUCUACUUUGUAAUCAAUAACUUGUACUUGUUGCGUGGACUGUAAUUCCCCAUUCUUUUAGGGUUGGCAAAGGAAUAUUGCUCUCACUGGCUUUUUUGGCCAAGUAAACUAUAUAUGUUCAUCCAUGGGAAUGUUUGAAUGUGCUAGAAAAAGUUCAAUUGCACACGAUCGACUCUGCAUUUAAGUGUAAAUUUUUGAGGAACCAUAUCUUGUAGUUGUGAAUUCUAAUCGUGGUUGAUCACAUUUAAAUAAUUUGUCACUUCACUCAUGGAGCAAUAUAUAUGUACCCAAAUUUAUUACAUGUUAACAUGAUUCUCUAGUUUCAAUUCCUAUUACCACAGGUUUAAUAUCUUUAUUAAAAAGAUGCAAUAGUUUGCGUGGACUCUCCUGUUAAAACAUGUUUCUAUUGAAUGUAAAAACUUUGAUUAUUGUAUGAUUUUGUUGUAUAAUAGUGAUUAGUUAUGUGUACUUGAAUUGUUCGUCUUGCUCUUAUUUGCUUGUACGUGUGAAUACCAUGAUUAAUUGCAGCAUCUCAGUUACAAUGGGAAUAUUUAUAUAUGAGAAUAGCAUUUGGUUACUUUCUGCUGAUUGGUAUUGUGAAAAUUGUACUACUUUUAAACCUUGCCAUGUGCUUAUGAACUGUGUUGAAGUGUGAAAGUGUCAUUCUGCUUAUGUGAAUAGUUCUUAGAACAUGCUUUACAGAGUGCGAUUUCGAAUGUCAUACAAAGUUUUAGCUUCUCUCGUGAACACAGAUUGAUUUUCAGAUGAGAUGGUCAAAGACAACCUACUUGUGAAUGAACAAGCAAAUACAUGGUCGUUAUGGAAGAAAUAUUUUCUAGUUAAUAGUUAUAUCAUGUCUACCUAGCCUUAAAUAGAAUACUUAUUUGUUAUA